rnacentral:ncRNA from 1 species
CACUCUGGAAAGCAGGCCGCGCCUUUUAAGCUGCGCGUGGGCCUCACCGAAGGAGUAAGCCCGGCGCGCCGCGUGAGCCGGGUCAAAUCUCUCAGGUAGAUGGGACAGAGGG